UGAUAAAAUGAUAGCAGAUCAGAUCAGGCAAACUCUUCAUAAUAAUGUUCUUGAAGCCUUAAUGUUCGCAUUUGCUCUGCAGUUACUCCAUGUGAAUCCUCCAUUAUCGGAUGUUUUUAUGUUAAUAUACUAAUGCAUUACAUUAUAAUUCUCACUAGUAAAAGCAGGUAAAAUUGCUCUGUUGUCUAACUGUAGCUAAUUGUUGCAGGUAUUGAUUCCGGACGACCUGGAGGAGGAGGAGGAGGAGGAGGAGGGGGAGGACGAAGUGGAGGAAUAGGAGGAGGAGGAGGGAGAGGAGUCAAUCCAGGCUUUAACCCAUAAAUAAAGAAUUUGUUUAUACUUUAAACAGUGUUUUUUCUUCUAUAAGCAUAUACAUUAUAAGUUACAUACACAAUACAGCCUGUUAUACUGUAAGUAGAUUUAUUUUAAAUAAAGAAGUUAAAUAACA